AGAGUUUGAUCCUGGCUCAGAAUCAACGCUGGCGGCGCGCUUAACACAUGCAAGUCGAACGAGAAAGGGGAGCAACCCCUGAGUACAGUGGCGUACGGGUGAGUAACACGUGGGUAAUCUACCUUUUGGUGGGGAAUAACCCUGGGAAACCGGGGCUAAUACCGCAUAAGCUCGAAAGAGGAAAGGAGCAAUUCGCCGAAAAUGGAGCCCGCGGCUGAUUAGCUAGUUGGUGAGGUAAAGGCUCACCAAGGCAAUGAUCGGUAGCCGGCCUGAGAGGGCACACGGCCACACUGGCACUGAAACACGGGCCAGACUCCUACGGGAGGCAGCAGUGGGGAAUCUUGCACAAUGGGGGCAACCCUGAUGCAGCGACGCCGCGUGAGUGAUGAAGCCCUUCGGGGUGUAAAGCUCUUUCGGCAGGGACGAUAAUGACGGUACCUGAAGAAGAAGCUGCGGCUAACUACGUGCCAGCAGCCGCGGUA
rnacentral:rRNA from 1 species